rnacentral:rRNA from 1 species
GCCUAAUACGUGUCUUUUCGUUUCACGUCAAGACUCUGAAGGCAUUUUUGUGAAGAGAUUUUUCUGUCAUUAGGUUGAUGGUUAAAUGGACUCACAUCUUUUACUGUGAAAAAAUUAGAGUGUUUAAAGCAGGCGAAAGCAUUGAAUACAUUAGCAUGGAAUAAUAAGAUAUGACUUUGGCGGUCUGUCUUGUUGGUUUGCACGCCAGAGUA